AGGGUUUAUAUAAUUUAGUGUUAUUCGUUUACGUGUUUAUGGAGUAAUACAUAAAUUGGACCGUUUAACAGGUGAUGUGCACACACCGAGAGAGUGAGGGACAGUAAAAGUGAGGUAAAAUUGUGUGUGUGUGUGUGUGUGUGUGUGUGUGUGUGUGUGUGUGUGUGUGUGUGUGUGUGUGUGUGUGUGUGUGUGUGUGUGUGUGUGUGUGUGUGUGUUUGUCUGUCUGUGCCCAUGUAUGGAACAAGAGCACCAGUCAUGUCCCCUAAACAGCGCACCGGCCGCUUAUGUUCCUUAGUUACGAAAAAGGAGGAAAUAUCGAUCUCUCUGUGCCCCCAGUGACAUCUAGGUAGACCGUGUGUCGAGGUCAGCAGCUUGUAAAAAGAGCUCGCUGGACUCCAGCGCAGAGCGCACCAGAGCCUAAUCCCUCUGCUGGUCAAGCAUUUCCUAAAACAAGGACAUCACAUCAAAGACCACGUAUGGAGACGGACAAGAAUGAAUGCCAAGUGCUGAAACAGCAUCCCACGCCACCCCUGGGGGCAUUACGCUGAUCCCCGCAGAAUGGAGCACACAUCGAAGCAGGCAGCAGGAACUUUAUUGGUGAAUAGAAACUUGGCCGGUUGCCAUGACUCAAUGUAUUAAUAUGAUUUGUAAUAACAUUCAUUAAAAAUAUAUAAAAAGCUGGAAAUAAGAGCAUAUACAGCUGUGUUUCAGAUCAAUGAAGGAGAUGUUUGUGUUCAAAAUAAGUUUGUCACAGUGCUUAGAUAUGGUGUUUACCUUACUCAACAUGUCCAAUAGUGUUUUUUUUAACAGCCAAAACAUAUGAUUAUACCAAGACGGCGUGGGGAAACCAAAGAGGCCAUCCCAAACUGCCCCCCCCCCCCCCUCUUUUAUUUGGAAUGAUUAAACAAAAACAAAGCAAACAUUUGGAUAAAGGUGGGACUCAUUGUACUGUCUUAUCUUUAAUAAUGCUACAUGUCGCUCCACUUUGGAUGGUAUUAAAUCAACAGCCAAGCUCUGAAAGCGAAAUGGAACAGAUGGAC